UGAGUAAGACAGGCAAUCGCGAACUGCAAAGUUCGAGGAAAGUCCGAACUCCACAGAGCAGAAUGCUGGCUAACGGCCAGUGAGGGCGACCUCAAGGAAAGUGCCACAGAAACAUACCGCCCGGCGACACCCAUACAUCGCACCACCACUUGUUGCCGGGUAAGGGCGAAAUGGUGAGGUAAGAGCUCACCAGCAGUUAGGUGACUAACUGGCUGGGUAAACCCCAUUCGGAGCAAGACCAAGCAGGAGGGAUGAACUGGCGUCCUAGAUAGAUGAUUGCCCCCUGUGUGGCCGCGAGGCCACGGAGGCACAGAAUUCGGCUUAUGACUUGCUCACCCC
rnacentral:RNase_P_RNA from 1 species